rnacentral:rRNA from 1 species
AGUGGCGGACGGGUGAGUAACGCGUGAGAAUCUGCCCUUAGGACGGGGAUAACAGUUGGAAACGACUGCUAAGACCCGAUGUGCCGAGAGGUGAAAGUAUUUUAUAGCCUAGGGAUGAGCUCGCGUCUGAUUAGCUAGUUGGUAAGGUAAGAGCUUACCAAGGCGACGAUCAGUAGCUGGUCUGAGAGGAUGAUCAGCCACACUGGGACUGAGACACGGCCCAGACUCCUACGGGAGGCAGCAGUGGGGAAUUUUCCGCAAUGGGGGCAACCCUGACGGAGCAAUACCGCGUGAGGGACGAAGGUUUUUGGAUUGUAAACCUCUUUUCUCAGGGAAGAACACAAUGACGGUACCUGAGGAAUAAGCAUCGGCUAACUCCGUGCCAGCAGCCGCGGUAAUACGGAGGAUGCAAGCGUUAUCCGGAAUUAUUGGGCGUAAAGCGUCCGCAGGUGGCAAUGUAAGUCAGUUGUUAAAGCGCGAGGCUUAACUUCGUACAGGCGAUUGAAACUACAUAGCUAGAGUGUGGUAGGGGUAGCGGGAAUUCCUAGUGUAGCGGUGAAAUGCGUAGAUAUUAGGAAGAACACCAGCGGCGAAAGCGCGCUACUGGGCCAUAACUGACACUGAGGGACGAAAGCUAGGGGAGCGAAAGGGAUCAGAUACCCCUGUAGUCCUAGCCGUAAACGAUGAGAACUAGGUGUUG